CUUAUUCUUUUCUCCUUCUCUCUCUACUCGGGCUCUCUCUUUUCCCGACCCAAGAGGCUGACACGGCUUCUCCACCACAAUACACCGUCGUCCGGCCGACUCAGACGGCGAGACCACCAUCAGUCGCUCCAUCUCACCGAGCUCUACAAUGCCCGGUAUUUGCAGGUGGGGUUUGAGUCGUCUCUCCACAAAAUCGUGAUCGAGCAAUGGACGCCGAUUGAGGUUAUCGGAGAAACGAUGAACUCCAGUGAGUUUCCUUUCUCUUCUCGUGAUUUGCAUGUAACCGGUUGAUGAGGAUUGGAGGAGCAGCCGCUUGGAUUUGAGAUGUAGGAUUGCAGCCCCGCCGUGGCCAUCGUUUCAGUUCGUGGAUGUAGUGAUUUCCAUUAAUUCCGUUAGAUUCGAGAUUGUUGGUGUGUUGUUAUCUUUGUUGUGGCAUUGCUACUGAGUUGAUGAUGGUCGGAGUGAGUAGUUUGGCCAAAAUUUUUCUUGAUCGGAAAAGAGAGGGUGAAACCUUGGUUGUUUUUACCGAGCAAGAGUUACCUUUUUACCGUUUUACAGCUAAGUGAAAUAACGGUUUUACCCAUGUAGUUUUUAGUAUAUAUAGUCCUGCCCCUGGCAGAUUUACAGUGUGGAAACUUACCAUUUUACAUUUGGAGUUCGUUGAUUGUUUAUCCGGGAA